rnacentral:lncRNA from 1 species
CAAUAUUUGAAGCCAGAUGUGUGGAGAGGUUAAUCACUCCCCUCACCGGCAGUGGAUGCAGCCACACUGCUGCCUGCAAAACAUCUUUAUUGCUUCAACGCAAGGAAGGCUCUAGAAGCAUUUGGUUUGUCCAUGCAGAUGAUCUUAGUUACCUGGUUAUCAAUUAGCUUAAGCAAAGCUAAUCUCAGGCUUGCCACCCUCACACAACAUCGGGAUGCGUUUUGCACGAGAAGCAACGGCAAGGUUUGCCUUCUACAGCAGUCUAGUUUCUUGUUACCAUUGUCUAAUAAUCAAUACCAUCUUAAGCAUCAUGCGAUAGUUGAAGCAGGAAACAUGCACAUGCGCUCACCUUCCGGUUGCAUUUCAUCACAUAAAAGUGCCACAAACUAGCAAUACAACGAUAGGUAGCUUUAUGUGAAUUCGCAUUAAUAAUCCAUGCCACACAUACAAUAGCGAUAGUAGAUAGAAAGUUUAUCAUAUAGUAGUAGCUUGAGUAACUUCCAUGUUGUUUGGUUAAUGCUGCCUAUGAUUGUUGAUGAUCUUCUUGUUUGGUCUAGACGUACCUUCAGUUCUGUAAACAUAUUAAAUUAUCAGAGCAUGCACAGCAAAUCCAAGUUGAAAAUUAAUUACAAUGAUAAACAACUGACACAUCCUGAUUCUGGAUUAGGAACUCGCAAAUUUGAAAAUUGCUUUAUCUUAUUUGAUCAAGGAUAGGUUGUUGUUGUUGUAACGAUGUUCUUAUAUCUAUGCCUAACAUCUGCAUGCGAGGCACCCCUAACCCUUUUUUAUCAUUGUAAUUAACUUUCAAAAGUUGCAUAUAGACUAAUAUGAUGUGCUGUCUAAACUAGGUAGGCACCUCUGUCGGACCCAAUAUUUGAAGCCAGAUGUGUGGAGAGGUUAAUCACUCCCCUCACCGGCAGUGGAUGCAGCCACACUGCUGCCUGCAAAACAUCUUUAUUGCUUCAACACAAGGAAGGCUCUAGAAGCAUCUAGUUUGUCUAUGAUUGCUUCUCAUAUAUUUUUAUGCAAGGAAGGCUCUAGAAGCAUUUGGUUUGUCCAUGCAGAUGAUCUUAAUUACCUGGUUAUCAAUUAGCUUAAGCAAAGCUAAUUUCAUGCUUGCCACCCUCACACAACAUCGGGAUGCGUUUUGCACGAGAAGCAACGGCAAGGUUUGCCUUCUACAGCAGUCUAGUUUCUUGUUACCAUUGUCUAAUAAUCAAUACCAUCUUAAGCAUCAUGCGAUAGUUGAAGCAGGAAACAUGCACAUGCGCUCACCUUCCGGUUGCAUUUCAUCACAUAAAAGUGCCACAAACUAGCAAUACAACGAUAGGU